rnacentral:rRNA from 1 species
GGCCCUAUGGGGCGCAGCAGGCGCGAAACCUUUACAAUGCACGAAAGUGUGAUAAGGGAAUUCCAAGUGCUCAUGCUUUGCAUGGGCUUUUGCUAAGUGUAAAAAUCUUGGCGAAUAAGUGGUGGGUAAGACCGGUGCCAGCCGCCGCGGUAACCCCGGCGCCACGAGUGGGGACCAUGUUUAUUGGGCCUAAAGCGUCCGUAGCCGAACUAAUAACUCUCCUGUGAAAUUGUUAAGCUUAACUUAACACUGUGCAAGAGAGACUGUUGGUUUAGGGAUCGGGAAGAGACAAAAGUAUGCUAAGGGGAGUGGUAAAAUAUUAUAAUCCUUAGUGGACUACCUAUGGCGAAGGCAUUUGUCUGGAACGAGUCCGACGGUGAGGGACGAAGGCUAGGAGAACGAUCCGGAUUAGAUACCCGAGUAGCCCUAGCAGUAAACGCUGCGAGUCAGGUGUUGCGUAUUCUUCGUGAAUACGCAGUGCCGUAGUGAAGACGUUAAGCUCGCCGCCUGGGAAGUACGGCCGCAAGACUGAAACUUAAAGGAAUUGGCGGGGGAGCAC